rnacentral:Y_RNA from 1 species
GGCUGGUCCGGGUGCAGUGGUGUUUACAAGUAAUCGAUCACAACCAGUUACAGAUUGCUUUGUUCCUUCUCCACUCCCACUGCUUCACUUGACUGGCCUUUA